CUGACAGAACCAGAGCUGUUAGAGCAGGGACGCGCGAAAGGCGGGAGUACGGGCGGCGCUGGAGAACCUCCGCGGCGGAGGGGCCUGGGGGUGGGACCGCGCCCGCGAGCCCGCCCUGACCGGGGUGUCUGUGUGCUUGUGAAGCGCUCCCUUGUUAGUUCCUUCUGUGAGACUCGGGGGAGACUGAAGAGGGAAAUCACCUGCGGGGAAUGAACAGGAAAGCAAUAAGAAGAUUUGGAAAAGAGGCACUGGCUACUGGAGGAAGGGAGAAAUCACCGAGAGAGCGAAAGAUGUAACAGAAAAAAAAGGCCUUAUGAAGACAUUGCAAAAGGACAACUAUCUGCAAACCAGGAAGACAGACCUCACCAGAAAUCAACCCUGCUGGUGGUACCUUGAUCUUAGACUUCCAGCCUCCAGAAGUAUGAGAAAAUAAAUAUCUGUAAUUUAA
ensembl:lncRNA RABGAP1L-DT RABGAP1L divergent transcript